CCAGACUCCUACGGGAGGCAGCAGUAGGGAAUCUUCGGCAAUGGACGAAAGUCUGACCGAGCAACGCCGCGUGAGUGAAGAAGGUUUUCGGAUCGUAAAGCUCUGUUGUAAGAGAAGAACGGGUGUGAGAGUGGAAAGUUCACACUGUGACGGUAUCUUACCAGAAAGGGACGGCUAACUACGUGCCAGCAGCCGCGGUAAUACGUAGGUCCCGAGCGUUGUCCGGAUUUAUUGGGCGUAAAGCGAGCGCAGGCGGUUAGAUAAGUCUGAAGUUAAAGGCUGUGGCUUAACCAUAGUACGCUUUGGAAACUGUUUAACUUGAGUGCAGAAGGGGAGAGUGGAAUUCCAUGUGUAGCGGUGAAAUGCGUAGAUAUAUGGAGGAACACCGGUGGCGAAAGCGGCUCUCUGGUCUGUAACUGACGCUGAGGCUCGAAAGCGUGGGGAGCGAACAGGAUUAGAUACCCUGGUAGUCCACGCCGUAAACGAUGAGUGCUAGGUGUUAGGCCCUUUCCGGGGCUUAGUGCCGCAGCUAACGCAUUAAGCACUCCGCCUGGGGAGUACGACCGCAAGGUUGAAACUCAAAGGAAUUGACGGGGGCCCCGCACAAG
rnacentral:rRNA from 1 species